UACGUAGGGUGCGAGCGUUAAUCGGAAUUACUGGGCGUAAAGCGUGCGCAGGCGGCUUUGUAAGCCAGAUGUGAAAUCCCCGGGCUUAACCUGGGAAUGGCAUUUGGGACUGCAUCGCUGGAGUGCGGCAGAGGGGGAUGGAAUUCCGCGUGUAGCAGUGAAAUGCGUAGAUAUGCGGAGGAACACCGAUGGCGAAGGCAAUCCCCUGGGCCUGCACUGACGCUCAUGCACGAAAGCGUGGGGAGCAAACAGG
rnacentral:rRNA from 1 species